rnacentral:tRNA from 2 species
GGUAGCUCGUCGGGCUCAUAACCCGAAGGUCGUCGGUUCAAAUCCGGCCCCCGCAACCA